CGGAGGGUGCAAGCGUUAUCCGGAUUUACUGGGUUUAAAGGGUGCGUAGGCGGGCUUUUAAGUCAGCGGUGAAAUCUCCGGGCUCAACCCGGAAAUUGCCGUUGAUACUAUUAGUCUUGAAUUAAGUUGAGGUGGGCGGAAUAAGUCAUGUAGCGGUGAAAUGCUUAGAUAUGACUUAGAACACCGAUUGCGAAGGCAGCUCGCUAAACUUAUAUUGACGCUGAGGCACGAAAGCGUGGGGAUCAAUCAGGAUUAGAAACCCUGGUAGUCCACGCCCUAAACGAUGAUUACUCGAUCUUAGCGAUACACAGUUAGGGUCUAUGCAAAAGCAUUAAGUAAUCCACCUGGGGGAUACGACCGCAAGGUUG
rnacentral:rRNA from 1 species